AUUGCUUGAGUGUUUACUACACAUUCUAGAAGGCUAUACAUUCUAGGCUCUACCAAACAUUCUAGAGGCUGAAAAAAAUCAAAACAGACAACCAAGGAACAUCGACUCUGGAAGAAGGGGGCCAUCGACAAAACAAAAAAGGAAAAGUGCCCAGUGUGUGAGAUGGCAUUAAGUACACAGACUAAAAAAGUUAAGGAGGGGAGGGAGACAGAGAGUGCCCGUGAGGGGAGGAAAGAUGCAACGGAGAACUUUUGGCAAAUGUUACGUUAUUAGGGAAAUGUCACUUCAAAAGAUUAGCCCGGUGGCCUCCCAUGGAAGGAGUGACCUGUGUUGAUCCCCAGCCUAAUAACACUGGGUGACAGUAGUUGAAGCCAUACCUUCCAGGCAUUCAUUUCACACGGCCCUGGGAAGCAAGAAGGACUGCGGGCAGGUGUGUGCAGAGAUACGAUGCCAAGGAGCUUCAAGAUCCUGUCAAGGUGACCAUCGAGAUAAACCAUUACAGUCAUAGAGAACAGCCGGCCUCUCCACCACUUGAGAUUUUCCAUUAUGUAGACGGGCAGCUCCAGCAGUGUCAGGAAGAAGAUUUUAGUAGUAUACAUCAUAAACAAGAUCAGGUGUCUCUAAAUGUACUAAAAACUGUACCUCCCAAGCACAUGUAACCAGCUGCAGCCCAUGAAACCGAGAAGCGAUGAUACCUUUCUGGGCAGAGACAACGGGAAGCUCAUGAGUGAAGCAGGCUUGGAUGCCCCCUGUGGAAGUGGCAGGUCGUCGCUGAUGAACCACAUCAUUAUAGAGAGUCACUCAAACCUCAUCCCUGAGAAAGAAAGAAAUCGUCUUUGUAUUGUGUUACUGCCAUUUCAGGGUUAGAUGUUUCCUCAAAGAUAACCCAGCCUGUAUUGACCAACACAGUUUGUCUCUAGAUUCCCUAGGAACUUUAUUUUUUUUUUCAGUGUGGACUAUUACAGUAGCCAUGAAUAAUGGCAGUUGUAUUUCUUUUGUUCUAAUUCUUA